UAGCAUGAGAAGCGAGGACAGGCGGGGCCAGGGGUUGAAUAUGCAUGAAAAAGUCGUGCAGUGUUUUGCAUAUGGAACGUCUUUAAGAAUAAAAGUGUGGGUCAGACUGAGGCUCGGGGCACAAGUUUUGGAGGGCUAUCUCACUUGUGCCGGGCGCUGACGUACAUACCCACUUCAUAACUACCCCAGGUUAUGGAGUCUAUUUAUUCCGCGUAUCGUUUCAGUUGGCGACCACGAAGGGACUGCUCUGCUCACCCGCAGGUCCGGUUGGGAGCAGACACCCUCAGGCGCCACGGGGCUUUUCCCCGGAGGGACUCUGCGCCUCGGCUGUACACUGCGGGGAGCAGACCACGGCCCGUCGACUAGCGGAUGAAAGCGUGAUUCAAAUGGACUUAUUCUUCAUUGGAUUCGUCUUGCUUUGGUGGUUUCUGUGGACUCACCUGUUCCCGCGUGGCGAUUACAAUGGACUUUCAUUGUUACACUUGCUCCCCCCUCUUUCCUCUGUGGACUAUAACUGGAGCCCCGAGUCGACCAGAACUUCGGAGACUCCCCCGACACGACAGAUGGAUCCCCAUCGUCCGGACCACUGAGGAUCUCGCCUGUGUUGCAGAAUUCUGUUGUGUUUACUUUUUCAGAAGAACCCCGAGGGACAUGAAGACCACCUAAUCCAUGAUAAAACUGGUAAUACUUUUCUGCAUCCUACCACAACCCCAUGGCCAGAAACCAGCUGAGUGGCCGUGGUCUGAACUAAUUGUGGUAGCAUGCAGAAAAAGUGAAAGGAUCUCUUUAAGCACAAAAAGGUGUGUACGCACCCAAGCAUACAGGAUUGUUGGCACAAUUACACAUUAACACAAACUGUAGAAGUAGUUUGGUUUUGGUCCAAAAAUACCGAAGCACUUUUUUUUGUUUUGUUUUGUUUUUGUUUUUGUUUUUGUUUUUUAAGUUUAAAGUAUUGAUUCAAAUACUGGAGUAGGACUUGAUGUUAAUGUUGUGACACCUACCACCCAACCACUGGUUACACUUAGCCCGAAAAUCUUUGGAAUUGGACCAUAUAUAAUCAGGAAAACUGGCCAACAACAGAUAUUGUUUAAUCUGUUAUGGUCUCUUAAACAAGUCAAAUUGCUGAUGCAAAACAAUAUCUCAGAAAUACAACCAGCUUGUUCACCCUUUUUGCAGACCUCUUUUCAGGGUUGGACAACCUGGCUGCGACAGUGGAACCCUCCUAAAAACCGGGUGCCAAGAGACGUAACUGGUCUUGUGGGGACAGGAUUGGGAAUCCUAAAUAGUAUUGAUUCAGAAGUAUUAAUGAAUAAAUUGGCUUCCACAACUAAAGAUUUAACCAAAAUACAACAACCACUGCAAUCGUCCUUAUCAGCCUUGGGAACACAUCAGUGGUUGCUAUCAAACAUUCUACCAAAUUGGGAAAAGAUAAAUGUAAAUAAUAGCAAAUUGAUAAUUGAUGGACUUAAUGCCACACAAAGCAACGUUUCCUUAGCUCUUAGCUGUAUCCAGGCUCAAUUAUGGAUGCAGUCAGUUGCUGCCUCAAUUAUAAGAGAAGGUGAAGAAGGCACUUUUCCUACUGAGAUUAGGAAAAUAGUCUGGGACAGUGCCACUGACUUCGAAAGAGAUUUCCAAUCCUGGUGGAAUUUAGUGAAUUUUACCUAUGACCCUAACACAAACACAGCCACAGCAUUUGUGCUGACCAUAAGAAAUGCCUCGGUGCAUUUGAUAUUCCCUAUCAUUGCACUAGGAUUAAAUCAUGAUGGACCCACUUUCUAUCCUUCUGAACAUAGAGAAUGGGCCCGUCAAAUUGAUGACAAAUGGCAAACUGUCAAUUUAGAGUCCUGUACCAUCUGAGAACAACUAGGGUUUAUCUGUGAAGGUAAUGCAAUUGUAGCUCAAGAUAUUUGUCUGGACACAGAACAAAAUAGCUGUCAUUUUGAUAUUCAUCCUAACGAGACUUCUGAAACAGUCCUUGUAUAUACAGACAAUGGGUGUGCCUGCUUCAGAACCGCUUGUGAUACUGUGUUUAUAGAAAGUACAGUAGUAGAUACUAAAAAUCAUUCAAAUUUUUGUGCUUGUAACUUUACUAAAAUUGCAGGAUGUGAUUUUUCUUUUGUAGCUCCAGUUACUUCACAUGAACUUUUAGAAUCCAAUCUCACGUUGAUUCACAAGCUACUGCCUACU